AGUGUCAAAAGGGCGUUUAGUGGAUGCCUUGGCAUGUAGAGGCGAUGAAGGACGUAGCACGCUGCGAUAAGUCUCGGGGAGUUGCGAGCAGACUUUGAUCCGAGAAUUUCCGAAUGGGGAAACCCACCGCUUAUGCGGUAUCACACACUGAAUACAUAGGUGUGUGAGGCAAACCCGGGGAACUGAAAC
rnacentral:rRNA from 12 species